rnacentral:misc_RNA from 1 species
AUAGACGAGAUCUUGGCCUCCCACAUCACUCUUAUUCCGUCCUCCGUAUUCUCUGGCUUCACUGCCACACAGCUGAGGAAUCUCAGCCCUGCUCAGGCCCAGGCCUCAACCACCACCCAGAGAUCCACCCUCAGCGCCUCACAGAUCUCGGCGCUGGAGGCUGCCGCGGGAGUAUCCUAUACCAGCUCCAGCGGAGUGGAGCGUUCGGUCCAAGUGUCAUGGCUGGUUUUAGCUUUGACAGUGGUACUGAAGCUGAGCCUGUAAUGGGGAGACAACCCAUGUAGUAGUGAAACCAAAGAGAGACAACUGUGAUAUUAAUGUUAUAGACUAGACACCCGUGAUUUUUUUUUUUACUUAAAUUAUAAUUGUUGUAAAUUCGUCAUUUUAAAUCUAAAUAAAUUACAGACGGUGUCGGCAUGAUGCAUUGUGUUUUAACCGCUGGCGGUUGAAGCUCAAAUGAUUGCUGUGCACUAGAUGUCGCUUCGUUAAAAAAAUAAAUUCCAGAAUUUAAGUAAUUUCUUGCGUUUUGCUACUGAUUACAAUGUGAGACUUACAUCAAGUUGAUGACAAUUGUAUCCCAAUCAGUAAGCAUACGUGACGUAACAGUAGUUUCUGUGUCAAUGAUACAGUUAUUAGGUAAAAACAGCAGUAAAGAAAUGACAGCACAAUUUCUAUAGUAUACCGUCCAAAAUUUGUCUAAGCAUAGCAUGUACCUGUUUCUCUGUCAUUGAGCCCACAACUGUUGAAAAAUAAAAUAUUUUUAAUUAU